rnacentral:tRNA from 1 species
GAAGGUAUAGCUCGGUGGUAAAGUGUAUGCUUAGCAUGCAUGAAGUCCCGGAUUCAAUCCCCAGCACCUCCA